ACACUCCUGCGGGAGGCAGCAGUGGGGAAUAUUGGACAAUGGGCGCAAGCCUGAUCCAGCCAUGCCGCGUGAGUGAUGAAGGCCCUAGGGUUGUAAAGCUCUUUCACCGGUGAAGAUAAUGACGGUAACCGGAGAAGAAGCCCCGGCUAACUUCGUGCCAGCAGCCGCGGUAAUACGAAGGGGGCUAGCGUUGUUCGGAUUUACUGGGCGUAAAGCGCACGUAGGCGGACUAUUAAGUCAGGGGUGAAAUCCCGGGGCUCAACCCCGGAACUGCCUUUGAUACUAGUAGUCUUGAGUUCGAGAGAGGUGAGUGGAAUUCCGAGUGUAGAGGUGAAAUUCGUAGAUAUUCGGAGGAACACCAGUGGCGAAGGCGGCUCACUGGCUCGAUACUGACGCUGAGGUGCGAAAGCGUGGGGAGCAAACAGGAUUAGAAACCCUGGUAGUCC
rnacentral:rRNA from 1 species